rnacentral:lncRNA from 1 species
UCUCACUGAGUCCUCACACAAGGCCCGCCUUCCUCAUAGAUGGCGCUUUCUCACUGAGUCCUCACACGAGGCCCGCCUUCCUCAUAGAUGGCACUUUCUCACUGAGUCCUCACGUGGUGGAGGGUGCAAGGGGACUCUCUGGGGUCCCUUUUCUAAGGACAAUAAUCACAUUCAUGAGGCUCCAUCCUCAGGACCCCAUCACCUCCCAAAGGCCCCACCUCCUGACACCAUCACUCUUGGGAUCAGGUUUCGGCACAAGCACUUUGGAGAGACACAGACGCUGAGACCACAGCAGACAGGCAGCACCAGUGUAAGGCAGACCAGUUACUGGCCCCGGGAGAAACGGGAGGCAGGGGUGCCCAACCGUUUGGCUUCCCUGGGCCACACUGGAAGAAGAAAGAAGAAAAAUUAUCUUGAGCCACAUGUAAAAUACACUAACACUAACAAUAGCUGAUAAGCUAUAAAAAAAAUCACCAAAGAAAUAUCAUGUUUUAAGAAAGUUUGCAAAUUCCUGUUGGGCACAUUCAAAGCUGUCCUGGGCUGCAUGUGACCCAUGGGCCAUGGGUUGGACAUGCUUGGAAAUGGACGUCAAACAGAAACAGUCUGCACCUCCAGGAAGGAAGGGAGAAUUUGUGCUGAGAACUUUUGAUUUGCUCACACAUCCCAUAGCCAUUGCUUGAGUCCUCGGGUGCUCAGGGACAGAGGGGAGAAAUUCUGUCCACAAGAAACCUGCAUUGUUUGGUGUAGUGUGUCCCGUGUGUCGUGUGCUCCUGGAGUCUGGACGGAGUGUAGGGUGUGGGGCCACUCCCUUGAGGCUGGUUUAUGGAUGAAAGGGGCAGGGAAUGCACAUGUAAAGAAGCCAAGGUGCCGGGUCACAGUGCGCUUGGAAUGUGUGAGGGUCCCUUCUGCAACAGAGUGUAGGAGAGAGAAGAGGACAAGAGGCUGUUCUCAAUGCCACUCUCAGUACUCUGAACUUCAUCCUGCAGGCAGUGGUAAAUGAUUGACAAGCCUUGAGCAGGGACCAACAUCAUCAGAUCUGUGUUUUAUGGAGGUAGCUAUGGAUGAUGGACCAAAAGGGUUUGGGGCCGUAGGCAGACAGACCAGUCCUGCCUCCUUCUGCCCACCCUCCCCCAUGGGCAGACAGGCGAGCAGGGGGCUUUCUGACCCUCCCUCCUUCCGUCAGAUGCUGUCACUAAGUAGAGAGAUGCGAAGUGUCCCCCGUGUCCAGCACUGCACCAGGUGUUGCAGGUGUGACAGUCCCUCCUGCAUGGUUCACUUGCUGCAGAAGGUAAACACCAGCAAACAGAUAACUAUAUGAAAUAGUAGGAAGUUAUAAAAAGAGCAUGGAAGAAAGAGGGAAGAAGGAAGAGAGACAAAUGCUGAGACAGAGAUGAGAUGGUGAGGGCGAAGGGGACCUACGUCUGAUAAGGUGGUUGUAGAAUCAUCUCUGAGGACAAGGUAUCAAGGUAUUUGAACUGAAACCUCAGCAUGGAUGCAGCCACAUUUAUAGUGAUGCAGGCGAAAAAAGGAGGAGGCUCAGAACUGGGGCAUGGAGAUGAGGAUGGAGAGUAGAGAAAGUCUUGGCUUCCUAAGAAAAUCAUCUUUUUUAGAAAUCACCUGUUUCAUCCUGACAUUGGCAUUCCCAGUAUGAACAUUUCUGUAAGAGCAUUUAAAAGUCCCAUUGAAAACAUAGCCGUGAUCUUGGGACCAUGUGUAGGCUCCAAAAUUUAAUUCUUUCCUCCAUUCAGCAAAAACUGACCAUGUGCCGGCCACAUCCUGAGCAUAGUUCUAGGAGCAGGCACACAUACUGCGGUGAGCAAAGUAAGUUCCUAUUACUUGGCUUAUUGAAGAUGUAACUUUAGCCUACGUGGACAAAGAAAUAGACAAUUUCUAAAAACAGAUACAAUACAAAAUGAAGCUUUAAAUAUGAGCACAACACCCUAUUCUGCUUUGACUGGGAGCUGAGAAUGACAGUUGUUAAGCCAGACUUUUUUUAUUGCUACACACGUGAACGGGAGGGCAUCUCAGAGGUGAUGCAGUGCUGACAACCAGGUGUGCUGCCCUCACCAUGUAAAAGCACUGGGCAUCUCGGGGUGACCUUGUGUUUACAACCAGAGGUACUCUCCUCACUGUGCAGUUAGGCACUGGGCGUCUUAGAGGUGACUCUGUCCUGAUAACCAGGUGUACUCUCCUCACUGUGCACAGGCUAGGGCUAGACAUGGCAGGGACCCAGGUGUGUGCAAGGUGCAGCGUUUGUGCCAUGGGGAGGACCUGCAGGUCCAUCCACCUCCCUAUUCCAGUCCUCAGAAAUGCACUAGGGCACAGUGGCAGUGGGGCAAAAAGCUCUUUGUGUGCUGUGAUGUGAACCUCAGGGUGACUCCAAACCUUAUCGUGCUCCACGUUCUCUUAGGCUGCUGUCAAUAAAUGUUUGAACAAUUUCUCGUAGAUGUCUUUGAAUAUUUCUAUGUCUGUACCUCCUCUUUUGGCAAUGAGUUCCAUAAGUUUACUCUUCAUUACAUAAAUUACUUUCUUUA